AAGGACAGGUAAGUCCCAGGCAUCACUGACAGGGGAAGAUCCCGCACUGUACAAAGAACACCACUGGCUGAAGAGGAAAUAUUCUCCAUAUGAAGAGCUGUGGAAUAAGGCUUUGACCUGGAGAUCACCUUGACACUCUCACCAUUGAACAAGAAGCAAGUCAUUGCAAGGUUAGUGACUUGUAGCAAUAGUUUUUCAGCUCCCUUUGCAGAUGUGCAACAGUUUGAACAGCUGGUGCAUGUGCAGCUUGGUAAUGUGGCUUUGAAUCAAGUGAUACUGUUCCUUGGUCUUCCCAGGAGGCUUCCUUAUCCCUCCUCUAGCGGAGCACUGGAAUAGAUGCAGCAUGCUGAGGGGACUAGUGGAGCUUCCAUCAACUUAAGAACAGACUGAACUGCCAGGAACAGUUUCUGCACAACUAAGCCUUUUUUAGGGCCAAAGAACAAAGCAAAUCAGUGUUUCUCAGCCUGUGGACCUCACAGUUCUGGUAGUCAGUAAGGAAACAGUAGGGAGUCCAUGAAACAGACUCAGCAACCAUAAAGUGGAUUCACACCUCCUUAUAUCAACAAACAGAAAAGAUAAGGGGAAAAAGCACUUACUAAAUGAACACCUGAAGUUAAGCUUCAUUAUUUGUUUGGUUGUUUGUGGAAACCAUUGUACCCGUACUUGUUUUUUCUUUUCCUCAUAACACUGGGAGGAUCCUUGGUGUUUGGGAAAAAAAAGUGCUGAGAUGAUGUUUUGAUUAAAGUGUAAAAAAAAAAAAAAGGAGAGAAAGGACUCUAAAGAUUGUUACCAGCUCUGCUUUUUUAUGAUCCUGUAUCCUCUGUGAUUUCUACUUCUGUUCUCUUCUUUGUCAUUUUUGCCACUACUUACGGUUCUCUUUCUUCCUGUCAUAAAAAAAAAAAAAAAAAGAGGAUAAGUUGUAGGUGCAGCAAAUACUCUGCAGCAAUGUUUAGAUCAGAGAAAGGAGCUCUUCCAUCUCUCAAACUCUGAGGAUAAUUUAGCUUGCUUAUACAGAAUUG
rnacentral:lncRNA from 1 species